CUUGUUCUGAGUGUGCCAUUUCAUACUGGAAACGAGCAGAGAGGGCAGUAAAAAAGGUGUCAAGUUGGGAGAUCGAUGCAAUUCUCUCCACACGUAGGUGGUAAAGAACCAUCAGCCAGGGGGAAUGACACACACAUGCGGGCACAGAACGAGGGCCAGCGCUGAGAACGCUGGAAGGCAGGGACACCGUUCGCUAGCAGGGGUAAACAGAAACCAGGCCUUUCAAAGAUGCCACCACUGACUUCAACCAAAGGUGGGGCUGCUGCCCCUCGCUUUGUACGGUUUGUACACAGCUGAACAACAUUCCUUCCUAAUAAGCGACCACCGACCACGGAGCAGUUCUGGCCAACUACGGAAGAGGCACAGUGAGGGUUUUCCUGUCCUCUGCUUCACCUUUUGACAUCAGAGUCCUGAAAACUUCACCCCGAGAUCACACUUUCAGUGCCACCAUUUUUUGAACAUGGGACCCAUGGAGAAGCAUGAGGCUCAAUUGCACACGCGCAGGUUUCCCAUCUCAUAAAUAUUCACGGAUGUAGCUUAGUGAGUAUAUGUAUAUUCUGCCACUCCAUUCAGCAUAAAUCCCUGUCUCUUCUAACCUUCAAAGUGCCUGUUUCCAGCUUCUCGCCAGAGGCUAUGCUUCCAUGGCCCCCCUGAAGGCUGUAGCCCUUUUUGAAAAAUAAAGCUCUCCCUUCCAAAUUUA